rnacentral:rRNA from 1 species
UACAGAGGGGGCAAGCGUUGUUCGGAAUUACUGGGCGUAAAGGGCGCGUAGGCGGCCUGUUAAGUCGAACGUGAAAUCCCCGGGCUCAACCCGGGAACUGCGUCCGAUACUGGCAGGCUUGAAUCCGGGAGAGGGAUGUGGAAUUCCAGGUGUAGCGGUGAAAUGCGUAGAGAUGUGGAGGAACACCGAUGGCGAAGGCAGCCCCCUGGGUCAAGAUUGACGCUCAUGCACGAAAGCGUGGGGAGCAAACAGG